rnacentral:rRNA from 1 species
CUUUGGUUCUAUUUUGUUGGUUUCUAGGACCGAAGUAAUGAUUAAUAGGGAUAGUUGGGGGCAUUCGUAUUUAAUUGUCAGAGGUGAAAUUCUUGGAUUUAUGAAAGACGAACUUCUGCGAAAGCAUUUGCCAAGGAUGUUUUCAUUGAUCAAGAACGAAAGUUAGGGGAUCGAAGACGAUUAGAUACCGUCGUAGUCUUAACCAUAAACUAUGCCAACUCGGGAUCUGUGGGCGUCCUCAAUGACCUCAUGGGCACCGUAGGGAAACCAAAGUUUUUGGGUUCUGGGGGGAGUAUGGUCGCAAGGCUGAAACUUAAAGGAAUUGACGGAAGGGCACCACCAGGAGUGGAGCCUGCGGCUUAAUUUGACUCAACACGGGGAAACUCACCA